rnacentral:rRNA from 1 species
UAACUCGGGGAAACUCGAGCUAAUACCGCAUAUCUUCACAUGAUCGCAUGGUCGAGUGAAGAAAGAAUUUCGCUCUGAGAGGGUCUCGCGGCCUAUCAGCUUGUUGGUGGGGUAACGGCCCACCAAGGCAACGACGGGUAGCUGGUUUGAGAGAACGAUCAGCCACACUGGGACUGAGACACGGCCCAGACUCCUACGGGAGGCAGCAGUGGGGAAUCUUGCGCAAUGGGCGAAAGCCUGACGCAGCAACGCCGCGUGCGGGAUGACGGCCUUCGUGGUUGUAAACCGCUUUCAGCAGGGACGAAAAUGACGGUACCUGCAGAAGAAGCCCCGGCUAACUACGUGCCAGCAGCCGCGGUAAUACGUAGGGGGCGAGCGUUGUCCGGAAUCAUUGGGCGUA